GCCGGGUGUGGUGGCACACACCUGUAAUCCCAGUGGCUCUGGAGGCUGAGGAAGGAAGAUUGUGAGUUCAAAGCCAGCCUCUC
rnacentral:sRNA from 1 species